UUUCCUACUUCCUAUGUCUCGCCCGGCCACCAUCAAGACUGUGGUGCAGGAAGGCCCCUGGUUGGGGUAUUGGUGGAUGUUUACCUCUUGUGUCUCGCCCAGCCGCCAUCAAGAAUAUAGUGGCCAAGAUACACUAAUUUCUAAAGGGAGACACUGAACCUCAUAUCAUAGGAAUGGAGAGCCAUUGCAAGUUCCCUUCGUCUUCACUCUGACCAGGUGGUGAUCAUUACCAGCUCUAUUCCUUUGAAUAUGUGGCUACAGCCUCCUAUAAAAGGUUCAGAAGCAAUGACAAUGGACAUUUUUUGCAUUCGAUCUGUUAAUGGGACAAAUGCAUCCAGACAUUCACCAUAUUUGCUGGAGAAUUUUUCUUGUAGAUGUACUUUUAUCAAGCCAAGGAAAUUCCCUUUAAAUUCUAACUUGCUUAGAGCUUUUAUCUUGAAUUAGUCUUGAAUGGUUAGAUGCACUUUCCGCAUCUAUUAAUUUAAUCACAUGGCUCUGUACUAAUAUGAAUUACAUUAGUUGACUUUCAAAUGUUAAAUCUUCUUUACAUUAUUGGUAUAAAUCCUAUUUGAUUAAGAUGAUUUGAUUUCUUUUUUAUAUAGGAUCAUGUUGGAUUUGAUUUACUAAAACUCUGUCAAGAAUUUUUGUGAUGUUCACAAGGAAUAAUUGUAGUUUUCCUUUCUUGUAAUAUCUUUAUUGUCUGGUUUGGGAAUCAGAACAAUGUUGGCCUCAUAGAUGGAGCAGAAAAGUAUUCUUUCCUCUUCCAUUUCCUGGGAGAGGUUGUGUAGAAUUGGUAUUAUUUCUUCCUUGAAUAUGUGGUAACAUUUACCACUAGUGAUCUAGGCCUUCAGUACUAUGUGAGAUUUUAAACUACAAAUGCAAUUUCUUUCAUAAAAAAAGCUAUUUAGGUUUUCUAUUUUUUCUUGAGUGAACUAAGAUAUUUUGCAUCUUCCAAGGAAUUUGUGCUCCUUUCAUCUAAAUUGUCAAAUUUAUUGCAAUAAGUUGUUCAUAAUAUUCUUUUUGUUCUAUUAAUAUUUGUAGAAUCUAUAGCGGUGUUACCUCUCAUUUUGACAUUGGUCAUUUCUUUCUUUUUCUCCUCAUCUGUCCAGGUAGAGGUAUACAAAUUGUUUUUGAGCUUCUCAAAGGACCAGCCUUUGGUUGAAUUAAAUUUUCUCUAUUAUUUUUCUCUUUCCAAUGCCACUGACUUCUGCUCUGCCUUUGUUAUUUCCCUUCUUCUGCUUAUACUUUUAUUUGCUCUUCUUUUUUUCAGUUGUUUAAAGUAGAAGCUGGGGUCACUGAUUUGAGAUAUCCUUUCUAACACAGCAUCUAGUGCUAUAACUUCCCCUUAAGUAUUGCUUUCGUUGCAUCACAAGAUACACGGUCAACACACAAAAAUCAACUGUAUUUCCAAAUACCAGCAACGAACAACUAGAAACCAAAAUUAGAAAAACAAUACCAUUUACAAUAGCUCCAAGAAAAUAAAUACUUCGCUCUAAAUCUAACAAAACUUGUAUAGGACCAGCAAUGCUGAAAUUACACAACGAUGAUGAAAGAAACCAAAGACGUAAAUAAAUGGACAUGUCAUGUUCAUGGUUUAGGAGACUCACCAUCAUCAAUAUGUGAAUUCUCCCCAAACUUAUCUAUAGAUUUAAUGCAAUUCCAAUCAAGAUCCCAGCAUGUUUUUGUAUAGGUAAGCCGAUUCUAAAAUUUACAAAUAAAGGCAAAACUGAUAGAAAAGCCAAAAUAAUUUUGAAAAGAAUAAAGAGGUAGGAAUCACACUAUCAGAUUUUUAAGACUUAUACAAAAAGCUACAGUAAUCUUGACCAUGUGGUGUUGGUAAAAGAGGAGACUCACAUCAAUGGAAGAGAAUAUCAAGUCUAGAAAAAAACCCAUAUUAUAUUAAUAAGGGCUAAAUGAUUCUUGACAAAGAUACAAAAGAAAUUCAGUGGAAAAAGAACAGUCUUUCUAACAAAUGGUCCUGGAACAACUGGACAUCCGUCCACAAGCCCCGCCCCCAAAACAAACAAACAAACAAACAAAAACAUAAACCUCAUACGUUAAAAGAAGUUUCAUAAAUCUAAAUGUAAUAUGUUAAACUAUGAAACAUUUAGAAAAAAAUAGGAGAAAAUCUUUGAGAACUGAGACUAGGAAAGCAUUUCUUAGACAUGACACCAAAAGGCACAAUCCAUAAAAUAAAAGAAAGUCAAUAAACUGAACUUCACCGAAAUGAAAAUUGUUACUCUAUGAAAAAACGGUGAAUGAAGAGACAAGUGCAGACUAGGAGAAAAUAUUGCAAAGCACAUAACUGACAACAAAUAGUAUCCGUAACACAUAAAGAUUCUAAACUCAAGAAAUCAACCCAAUUUAAACAUGAACAACAAAAAACGAACUAAAAAAAAUUUUAAAUGGCAAAAAGAAAAAAACAAAAAUAAAAAGCGAAAAGAUUUGAACAGACACU